rnacentral:rRNA from 1 species
AGCAGUGAAUAAUUUUCCGCAAUGGGCGAAAGCCUGACGGAGCAACGCCGCGUGAGGGAUGAAGUCUCUAGGGAUGUAAACCUCUGUUGGGAGGGACGAAGAUCUGACGGUACCUCCUGAGGAAGCCCCGGCUAACUACGUGCCAGCAGCCGCGGUAAUACGUAGGGGGCAAGCGUUAUCCGGAUUUACUGGGCGUAAAGAGCGCGUAGGCGGUUCCGUAAGUUGGUUGUGAAAGUUCGAGGCUCAACCUCGAAACUGCGUCCAAUACUGCGGGGCUGGAGUGCAAGAGAGGCAAGUGGAAUUUGCGGUGUAGUAGUGAAAUGCGUAGAUAUCGCAAGGAACACCAGUGGCGAAGGCGGCUUGCUAGCUUGUAACUGACGCUGAGGCGCGAAAGCUAGGGGAGCGAACGGGAUUAGAUACCCCGGUAGUCCUAGCCCUAAACAAUGUUCACUAGGUGUUGGUGGUAUUGACGCCAUCAGUGCCGCAGCUAACGCAUUAAGUGAACCGCCUGGGGAGUACGGCCGCAAGGUUGAAACUCAAAGGAAUUGACG